CGAGCACUCGCCGGUAUACCCUUUGUGCUGUGAUAAGCACUGUAAGCACAGGCUGUCCCGUCUCGUGCACGUUCAAUCGUUUCCACUUGUUUCCCUCCUAUGCUCAGGGACCUAUAAAUUUUAAGAUUAUUAUUUAGGUGAUCUACAUACAUCUCAUGAAGCAGUGAUGUGAUCUAGUACAGGGACGUAUUAUGGUUAACUAAGAAUCGCAGUGGUCUUACAGGAUUGUUGAAAUAACAACCCAGAACAUUAAGAUCGCAGUCACAAGAUCGUACAACUCAAAUCAAGUUCUCUAAAGUGAUGGAACAUGCCUUAAAUCUCGGAGAACUUAUAGUACUCUGAAGAGCCUCAAGAGCGGAGCCUUAUUGAUAAUAUAAUCGCAGAAUUUACAUUAGGUAGCAGAGAAAGAGUAAGAGGGAGGGGGCGGCGGCGGUGAGAAACGCUCGUUAGGUUCCACGGAAAAAGGAAAACAAGCAAAAGGUUCUGGCUUCAAGGCUUUGACAAACAGGACAAUUUGAAAGUCUACCGAAAGGUUAAUCGAAUCGGACGCUCUUUAGUUUCAAUUGUAUCCAUGCAUCGAAGCAAGUCUGAUUCAUUGAUCGCAAAUCGAUAGACGCGAUUCACGUUGAUGGCAGGCGAUGUUACAGAAUCGUACUUUAAAUUCAUUUGCAUCUUCAGCCGGCUAGUAUUGGAGUAUAUUCUGAAUCUCGUUUCCGGUAUCUAUUGUGCACCAUCUGGCACGUAUCGCGGAGCCGCAAUCAUUUACAAAAUAGUCGCGACAUCCCGACAUGUUGCAAAUUGCUGAAUUUUAACUUCGUCCCCAUCCUUCCCUUCAUAUUCGUAACGAUCCUCAUUGUAGAAGACGUAUUGUAAUGAAAUAGGAUGGAAUUUAUUUUAAUGGGUUCGUGAUUUGGAUAAACAGACGAUCAAAUGAAUUGAGCGUAAGAAACACAAAUAUCAGGAUAUAAAAGGAAUAGAUUGAGCAAUAUUAUCGUUAAAUGUAAUUGAAACGAUAUUCCAUUACAUUCAGUUGAGAUAUUUGUCGAAACAUUCAUCAUAUUUGCUAUUCAUCAAACAUAUCGUUCUAGACUAACUAGAAGUUACUGAAAAUAACUUUCUCCCACUAAAUAUGAAUAUUUUUAUAGCGGUACUUCCGUUUUAUGUUCCAUCUAUGAAAUUACAUCUCCUAAAAUGACGCCCAUAUAAAAUAAAUAUCGCCUCUAUAGAGUUUCCAAUAUCGUCGGUGAACUUUAGUAUUUUAUGCACAAAUUUACAUUCGAGUCUUCGUGUAUAAUCUUCAAUUUCAAUGCGUUUUAUCCUUUCUAAUCGAUCGACAAUCGAUCCUAAGUGUAUCCGCUUAUAAAUGAAUCGGUACAAACGUAAAGUUUCGACAGAGCUACAAAUAAAAGGAGGAAGUUAUUUCAAGCGUUUCGUUAAGCGUUCCUUUGCUAAAUACGUAAUCGGCUAGUAGAAAAUGCAUUUUUGCAUUGGCGUAUCGGAUAAAUUUUCGCUGUUCAACGAAAACAAUACGUGCGUGCGUUUCUAUAAAUAGUAAAUUCAUAUAGUGUAUGCUUUAAAUAUUAAUACAUUCCGCAUAGUAACCGCGGUGUAACUUGGCUUCACUUCAAGCCUUGUCGUAUAUUUUUAGUGUUUUGCAGGAGCAAAUGAUCCCUACGCGUAUCAAUGUCGAGCAUCAUUCACGUGUUAGAAAUGAGUUCUCGUGACGCAGAAGCAUAUACAUAUAAUGUAUAAUUAUUUGGUAAUGCGAAGCCAACCAGCGUCAGAGAUUUUGCUUGCUGUUUAAAUAGUUCAAAUUAUAGUCCUUGAUAUAGCGUUCUAUGAGGGAGGAAAUUGGAACAGAAAAUCGUUGUUCAACAAGCGUAAUACUUUCUCUUACUUCCUUUUGUAUAUUUCAAAAAAAGAAUAUAAGGAAGAGGAAGGAAAUUUAUAUUCAUUUAUUCGAUACAUAAAACGAGUUAAUUUGUCGCUCGAACCAGUAAUAAUUUACACCGAAUAGUUCAUGUUUAUAGGGUUUAUUAACUUCUUAAAUAGACUAUAACAUAUAACAUUAUGUUAAAUAUAAUAACAUUGGUUUCAAAAAUACUUUGUCGCAUUUAUACGAAUUUUGUUUCGUAAGCAAAUACAAAUCUGGUUAUGAAGAUUUAAUCUUCUGGUUCAGAAAGACUUUCCCAUUGGGAAAUGACCCAGUUAUACAAUAGUUAAGUAUAAAAGUUAAAUAUCGGUUUAAUAUUGCGUCCAUCAUCAUAAUAGUUUGCUCUGUUUCAGUUGGAAAUACAGAGACUCGAAAAUUGGAAAAGUGAUUCGAGCACGAGAAAUCUUGGCAAUCGAAAUUAUAGCAGUUGAUUCCACAGGUUCAUUAAGA